rnacentral:tRNA from 1 species
UCUCGUCUAGCUUAAUUUAAAGCGUUGAUUUGAAGCGUCGAAGACUGUAGUGAUUACGAUGGGGA